rfam:Gossypium raimondii chromosome 5, whole genome shotgun sequence.
GAGAUUAAAUACAAUAACGGUAUUGUAGCUUGAGACAAAAAAAAUGACUAAACGCACCGACUGAUGUUGAGCUUGGGUGAAACUAAGUGGAGGACCGAACCGACUGAUGUUGAAGAAUCAGUGGAUGAGUUGUGGUUAGGGGUGAAAUGCCACUCGAACCUAGAGCUAGACGGUUCUCCCCAAAAUGUGUUGAGGCGCAGCAGUUGACUAGACAUCUAGGGGUAAAGCACUAUUUCGGUGCAGGCCGCGAGAGCGGUACCAAAUCAAGGCAAACUCUAAAUUCUAGAUAUGACCUCAAAAUAACAGGGGUCGAGUUCGACCAGUGAGACGACGGGGGAUAAGCUUCAUCGUCGAGAGGGAAACAGCUCGGAUCACCAGCUAAGUCCCCUAAAUGACCGCUCAAUGAUAAAGGAGGUAGGGGUACAGAGACAAUCAGGAGGUUUGCCUAGAAGUAGCCACCCUUGAAAGAAUGCAUAAUAGCUCACUGAUCGAGCACUCUUGCGCCAAAGAUGAACAAGGUUAAGCGAUUUGUCGAAGUUGUGGGAUGUAAAAAUGCAUCGGUAGGGAAGCGUUCUGCCUUAGGGGGAAGCACCCGCGUGAGCGAAAGUAGACGAAGCGGAAGCGAGAAU